AGGGGGGUAGAAUUGCAGGUGUAGCGGUGAAAUGCGUAGAGAUCUGGAGGAAUACCGGUGGAGAAGGCGGCCCCGUGGACAAAGACUGACGCUCAGGUGCGAAAGUGUGGGGAGCAAACAGGAUUAGAUACCCUGGUAGUCCACGCCGUAAACGAUGUCGACUUGGAGGUUGCGCCCUUGAGGCGUGGCUUCCGGAGCUAACGCGUUAAGUCGACCGCCUGGGGAGUACGGCCGCAAGGUUAAAACUCAAAUGAAUUGACGGGGGCCCGCACAAGCGGUGGAGCAUGUGGUUUAAUUCGAUGCAACGCGAAGAACCUUACCUGGCCUUGACAUCCAGAGAACUUAGCAGAGAUGCUUUGGUGCCUUCGGGAACUCUGAGACAGGUGCUGCAUGGCGGUCGUCAGCUCGUGUUGUGAAAUGUUGGGUUAAGUCCCGCAACGAGCGCAACCCUUAUCCUUUGUUGCCAGCGAUUCGGUCGGGAACUCAAAGGAGACUGCCGGUGAUAAACCGGAGGAAGGUGGGGAUGACGUCAAGUCAUCAUGGCCCUUACGGCCAGGGCUACACACGUGCUACAAUGGCGCAUACAAAGAGAAGCGACCUCGCGAGAGCAAGCGGACCUCAUAAAGUGCGUCGUAGUCCGGAUCGGAGUCUGCAACUCGACUCCGUGAAGUCGGAAUCGCUAGUAAUCGUAGAUCAGAAUGCUACGGUGAAUACGUUCCCGGGCCUUGUACA
rnacentral:rRNA from 1 species